GAGGGUGGAUCCAAUGUAUUGGUUGAUUUACCUUCAUCAUUCCAUGAAUCGAAAGUUGAUGAGAUAUUGCAUAAUAAGGACUUGCCAGAUAAACCUAUCCACUCCCUUGGAGACACACCCAGGCCUACCCAGCACAAACACAGGCACGGUCACUCAAUGAACAGCGAGCAUCAAAAUAUCCAAUCGUCAGUUCAUGUCCACCCUGAUAAACUUCACAAUAUGCCUGCUUUACCGGACAUUAAAAACCUCCACCCAUUACCGAAAUUUUCCUCAUUGCCAGACAUCAUGUCCGGCCCACGUAGGCGCAUGGGGCCUCCCAGUAUGAUCAUCCCUUCUGUGUACGAAUGGGUUCCGAAGUCAUGGAAUCCGUGUUCCAGAAAAUGUGAUGGUGGCAUUCAGACUCGAGCUGUGGGUUGUGUGGACUCUAAAUCAGGAAUAGAAACUGAGGAGCAUAAAUGUAACAUUCUGACAAAAAUGGACACAAUCCGCCCUUGCAACACCCAGCAGUGCGCGACGUGGCAAACCUCCAUGUGGAGUCAGUGUUCCGCUACCUGUGGGGAAGCCGUCCAGGUUCGUGAGGUGGUCUGUUCUGAGAACUCGGACUGUGACCCGGACCAGAAACCCCCCACCCUACAGCCUUGCCUCCUCCCGAAAUGUUUGGCGUGGAAACACGGCCCAUGGAAUACGUGUUCUAAAACCUGUGGUAAGGGGCAACAGAUCAGGGCAGUACAGUGUAUAAACAUUACAUCGGAGACCCUAGCCUCUGACUGUGACCUGUCGGCCAAACCCGCGGAGAUUCAAACCUGUAACCCCGACCCCUGCCACAGUGGUCACUCAGAAUUAAAAACAUCUACUUGUAAAAGAAACAGACUGAAUAACAGAGUUUGCCGUAAGUUGCGCCAGAGAAAUCAGUGCACACGUGUGUACGUUAGAGUCAAUUGUUGUAGGACAUGUGAAUUAAGUAAAUAUAGAAGAUGGCGGCGACCAAGGCGGCGACAGGAGUAAAGAGCGGGCGACCUGAGACGACCCCCUCUAAACUGUGACUGCUAAAUCAGCAGAGAACCUCCCAAAUAUGCGGUUCUGAAGCCUAGCAAUGUGUUCACGCACCGUGAUGGACAAAUCAACCGAGCCAGUAUUGAAGUCUUCUGAAAUCCAUACUCUUUGUUUUGUUACGUCAGAAUCAUUCCCAUAAUUCCAUAUUUUACUGGAAGUUGAUUGUUUCAUGUUUGAAUUAUUAUUUAAUUUAUAGAAUUAUUAAUGAAGUGCUUGUAGCUGAUUAUGUGUGCGCGUGUGUAUGAUCUGUAGAUGUAGCUUGUAGAUUCGACUGGUAAAGAGUCUAAAUAUAUACUCUUUAUAUACAUACUACCAUCCCUUAUACUCAGUAACCUAUAUUUGUACAUAUGUAUACAAAACUGACAAUUAUUUUACGAUGUUUAUUUAUAUUAUACAAUUAAUGUUUUGUGUAUUAAUUCUUGACGUUAUACAAUUUUAAAUGAUACUCAAUAAAUACAUAAAACAGUU
rnacentral:misc_RNA from 1 species